UAAAAUAGGUAUCCUUGUCCUGCAAUUUUAUUGAUAUAAGUCCAAUUCAAAUAAUCAAGCAUUCAAUUCUUACAAUACAAUGGGCAUAAUUUCCCAAAAGAAAGAAGAAAAUAUAAUAAAACUGUACAGAAUCACUAUGCUAAAUGACAUCCCUGUAUGAUUAUCCUUAAUUUUAAUGAUUCUGGAGAUACUGCUUAUGCGAUCGGCUUUUCUUUUCAUCCUAUGCUCUGAUGAUUUAUAUGAAAAACGAUGAGAUCAUAUUUCACGGAGUACUCAAAACAUGGUUGCCAGGUUCCCUCGGCCAUACUCAUGCAUUAAGCAAAACAACUUACUGAAAUCUGUAUAAAUAUAUUCUAUUCUGAAUGGUAAUCUGCAUAUGAGAUCUAAUGCCAUUAAUCACACAGCUUAAAUCAAGAAAUGCUGAUAUUACCGUCAAGUUAUUGCCUUAUUGUACGAAGCUCCCAGUUACCCUCACCGUCAAUAAGCCGUAAUUCCACAGAAUGGAAUGGUAUUAGAGCAGGACGCUGUGAGGAUGUAACAACUGUGAUGUUCAUAUCCUUGGCAAGCCUAUAAAGUUGUUCCUCAACAUCGACACUUGUGGCAUUGGUGCAUUCGUCAAGAAUGCCAAAUUUGGGCUUGUGAAAGAAUAGGCGUGCCAUGCCUAAUCUCUGUUGUUCUCCAAGAGAGAGAAUAUCUUCCCAAUUCAAAUUAGCAUCCCAACCACCUUCCUCCCUUUCCAGAAGAUAGUUUAGUCUAACAUUCUCCAGAAUAGCUUUCAAAUGUGCAUCCAGAAUCUCUGUGGUGUCACCAGAUAUUUUAUCUGAAAUUUGACACAAUCAGAAUACCAAAGGACAAUUGAAUGUAGAAGUUAUAUCUCAGAAAACUACAAUACAAAAAAGAAAAUAAUAAUAAUAACGCCCAGGCAUGCAAAUUCUAUAAUCAUUCUACAAACUUAUUUGAUGAACAAAAACAGAAGAUCUUCAAUACUUCGCAUAAAAAACUUCUAACUAGUUGCAUAGAGUUGUUACUUCAUCACUACAGCUGAUGAAAUUAGUUAACGUCUUUAAAGUAAGGAGCUGUUGGAAAACCAUCCAAAACUAAAAUUUGACAUUUAAGCCAUGUCUAGCAUGUCCCUGAAUGACCAUAGCUGAGAGUAAAAGAGAAUAAGAGAAAGCUACAUCAACAAUUCCAAGGUUCUCUGGAUAAUUUGUUGCAAGGGCCAGCAAAUGUUUGCUUUCAGUUCAAAGUAGUUUCAAAUGCAUCAAAGAACCAGCACGGAACUGAUAAAAUGAUAUAAGCAUUUCUACAAAAUAAAAUGUUAUGCUUCAUUUCACAAUGGGCUGGGAAACAACCAUAAUGGAGAAAGGGGAAAAGAAGAGUAUAAAGAUGCCGAAAAAAAAAACAUUUUUCUUUUAUAUACAUAUAUAUGUAUAUACACACCUCAUUUUUUGAUUAAUCAAAAUGUUAGUUAGCAGGAGUGCGAAACAUAUGCAAUGCCUUGCCAAAUGAAUCUAUUUAGACUUUCAAUCAUGUAAAUAGUAGACAACGGAAGCCAUCAAGGAUUUACAAUAUAUGGAAGUACUUUACCUUCACCAUGCAGCUUUAACAUCAUACAUGCUGCCUCAUCAUGAGAGAGAGGAUAUAUAAUUUGAUCUCUCAAGGUUCCAAAGCAUGUGUAUGGCUGUUGAGGAACAUAGAAGACACCACAACCAGAUUCACCUUCUUCAUUAAUAUAUUGGGAUGGCUUAGCAAGUCUACCACUCACAAUGGGCCAAAGACCUCUAAGGACUCUGAAAACAGAACUUUUACCACUUCCAUUCGGACCUGUGACAAGCAAGCUUUUCCCUUGUACUAUGUCAAAUGUCAACCGCUUUGCCAACAAUUUCUGUGCUGGAGUAAUGAUAUCAACCUCCACAAAGGAAAUGAAAUCUUCUGUAUUAACAUCAGUCUCCUUAGACGGAGAGAGUUUAUUGGCCGGCCAAUUCCCAAACUCUGCAGCAUCUAGAAGCUCUUCGAGCUCAAAAAUUCUAUUCACACCGCCACAGAGCUCAAGGAACUUCUUAUGCAGUUCAAGAAUGUCUCCAAAUGCUAAAAAGCUCUGCGAGACAACAGAGGCUAAAAACCGCAAUGAAUGUGCCAACUCCCCUUGAGUUGAGAUCAGAGCUCUGUCUCCCUUGUGUUCCUUAGCAUACAACAAGCUCAAGCCCCAAGUUACAUUAUGUGGGAGUUGCUUUGUGACAAAAUCAUCCAGGAUACCAUAUAACCAUUUCUUCUUUAGAAGUAACAGAGAAUGGUCAAGCAGCUCCCUGAAUCUUGACUCAAUCAUAGCUUUUUCUCGUGUGCCACCUCCAAAGAAAGCAACGGACUCAGCAUGCAUACGCAGUCUUUCAUGCAUGAACCUAAAAGUUCCUUCAAGUUGUUGCUCUUGACUUGUAAGAUAACCAAAAUCGGGAGUUAUAGUUCUCAAAAAACCCAGACCAAGCAGCAUAUAAGCAUACAAUAUGGCAACUCCUUUCUGACCCGUUAAGAGCUUCAUUCUCCAGGUGAACCACAAGAUGUCAACAGAUGGCUUUACCAUUCCAGUUAAUAGUCCGGACAAGUCUGUGGACAGCUUUUGAAGAUCAUGAGUUAUUCUCUGAUCUGCAUCAAUAUUUUUGCUCGACAUAUCGAAGACCUUGUAAAACGCAUUGUUUCUCAAGUAUUUCUUUAGUAGAUGCUGAGUCAAAUGAAUCCUCCAUCCAAGAGCCAACCUAGCUUUCAAGUGCCUCAAUGAAGGUGCAAUGAAAGAAGAUGCAGCACUUUGAAGAAUACUAACACCAAUUAAUCGAAUAAACGAUGUUUUAUCCUGCUCCAAGACAAACUUUACAGUGGUGCCAUUCAAUGAGGCAAUCCGAUCGGAGACCCAUGUUCUUGAGACAACAAGAACAGCAACUGCAAGUAAUUGUGCCCCUUGUUUAUCAAGUAAAGUUGGUACCAGUAUUUUAAACAUGGCAGCCACUCUCAAUGCCAAUACCCUUGGAUCCCUUUGGAGCUGUGGGACAAUUGGUAAAGGAAGACCAGGAUCUGCACUAGGACAUGCCACUAUCACCUCUGAAAUAUAUGAUUGCGACUUUGAAUUUGAGAAUGUAGAAUCCUUAUCAGACGUGGCAAAUGCACGUUGAACUAACAUCGCAUCACUUUUGCGUUCCGUCUUAGAAGCCCUUGUGUCAUUGGUCCCAGGUUCCUUCAGGUCAGCAGAAUCCCUCCUUUUGUAACUAACUCGCCAGCCCCCUUCUCCAUCCAAGGACAAAACAACAUCAUGAAACGCAACUAGAGCUGGACGGUGCGAUAUUGUUAUGCAUGAAGUUCCCAUAGCAAGAACUUUCGCACAAAAUCGUUCCUCCAUGUCAGUAGUCACUGCACUGGUGCACUCAUCAAGAAUUGCAAAUUUAGGCUUGUGGUAGAACAGUCUGGCCAUGCCUAACCUUUGUUGCUCUCCCAGAGACAAUUCCUCACCCCAAUUUACCUCCUGCUCAGGUGGAUAACGAUCUAAUAGAUACUCAAGAUCAACAUUUUUCAAGAGCUCCACCAUUCCACUCCGUGUGAGAGGUUCAACCUCCUGGUCCACAGUAAGAGGAUAAAUUAACUGAUCACGAAGUGUGCCUACAGCUGUAUAUGGCCUUUGCGGCACAUAGAAAAUCUCUUUAUUAAGAUCAGAACCAACACCAGGUUUCACAAUAUGGCCAGACACCAACGGCCAAAGGCCACCUAGAACUCGAAAAAGUGAGCUCUUACCACUACCAUUUGGACCUGUAAUUAACAGAUUAGAUCCUGAUUCAACCUUAAGAGUCAGAUCUUCCACCAAAACAUUACCAGUUGGGGUGACAACCUUGACACCAGAAAACUCAACAUAAUCAGCUUCACUAAAGUAAUUCCUACUUCCACUUCUUUGCAGAGAAGUUUUAUCAUCGCAGUUUAGCUCUCUUGAUAUUACUAUUAACUCAUGAAUGCGAUCAGCAUAACCACUGAGACGAUUGAGCUGUCUUGAACUUCUAGAAAGAGCUCCCAAGGACUGAAAUAGUGAUGUUAUGACACUGGUGUGAUAUCUUAAGUUGCUCAACAUUGUUGCCCUUCCCAAAGUAGAGGCAUCAGGUCUUAGAUGGCCAGCAAAAAAGGGCUCUAUAAUCAAUACAACUGCAACUGUAGCACCAAGAUACUUCAACAAAAAAUCUUGAAUCAUUCCAAACCACCAAUGGUCAUAAAGGACAACUCUCAUGUGUCUAACAAGAUCCUUAAACUUCUGCUGAAUAUGUGAUUCUUCUCUACGUUCUCCACCAUAAAAUGCUAUACUUUCUGCAUGGGUCCUUAAACGUGAAUGAAGCCGCCGAUAUUCACCUUCCAACUGUUGUUCUUUUGACAUCAGUUUCCCAAAAGCAGGGGAAAAGUUUCUAAUCAUGGUUCCUGCUCCCAACACAUAGCCCAAUAUCCAGAAAAGAUAUUUUGGGCUAGCAUAAGAACACAGGCGCCAAGUAUAGAGAAGACCAUCAGUAACUGCUGUCAAGUCAUCCUGUACCAGUUCACUCAACUCUGAACAGAAUCUUGGUACAUCACUUGCAAUUCGUUGUUCAGGGUUAGUAAUCCGACCAUCAACAUGUGAUAUCUUAUAGUAUGCCAUGUUCUCAAAAUAAUGUGCAUGGAUACGUUUAGUCAAUAUUUUUCUGAAACAUAGACUUAAGGUCCCCGUUACAUACUUCGAAGUAGAAUGAAUAGUGGAUAGAAGAAAACAUAAUAAGAUAUUUUCAGAUAUCAACCGGAAAAAUAAUGGCACGCGUCGGAGAAAAGCAGCACGGAAUAGAAAUCCCUGUACUUUUGCUAAUCUGUUGCUCAAAGCAGUUCUCAACACUGCUAUAGCUAUCAUAGCCAAAAGAUCCCUUGUGCCCCUUUUGCCCAUCUCAGACAAAAGAACAGAAGCUAGAACAUGGAGUGAUUUCAAACUUCCUUUUUUCUGAAUAAUUUUCUUAGCUUCUUUCGCAACCUGCUUGUCUGAUUUGUCAUUAUCACCCCUAAGCCCAUUGUAGUGAUCAAUAGAAUCAAACUUUUUACAGCCAUGCCGUGACUUCACAUAUGCAGCAGUCCCGCCAAAAACUAAGAUACCACCAGCAAACAAUAGAGAUUUCCUUCUUGAAGCCAAGAGGCUUCGACCAUGCUCAGUUAGUUGCAACAGUUGAAGAGAAGGCAUGACUGAAAAUAAACCUUC
rnacentral:misc_RNA from 1 species